ACAGUAGAACAGAGAUUCUAGCAAUUAAUAUUUCAAAUCAAACCUUAGGCAUCAUUUACAGCCAAAGCACCCUUAAAGCCCCCAAAGGAAGAAGUAAAGAUGGGAAGGGCAAAGAUAUAUCUGGCUACUAGGGGGAUAAGUGAGGUAUCUCGCGUCUCCUGCAGAGCCCAACACAGCCUUUGCAUCAAGGCAGCCAAGGCAGAAGCAGAAGGCAGUUUGAGCCAGAGGAAGCUUAUAGUUGGGUAAGGGGAGCUUUGCUUUUGGUCCUCAUGGAUAUGAAAGAUAAAGUGUUCUGUCUGUUGCUGACAACCCUCUCAUGUGACAGUGAGGGAAGCCAGCCAAGGCAUGAGGCUGAAACCUCAAGGGGAGAAUAGCUAACAAGAGUCUCAGAAUGAAGCCAAGGAAUGGAGUCCUGCCUGAAGCUAGUCCUACUUCUGACCCCUCGGAUGGGACUGAAUUGGGCUCCUGAGUUUUGAAAGACCACAGAGAUAGAAUGUUCUUCUCAUCCUUUCAUACCAAAGGUAAGUACUAUCUCUUAUUACUGUUUAUGGGGACUUUGACUACAUGAGUGAUUAACUUCGUCACCUGCCUGAUUUUUUUUUUUUUUUUAACAAGAUAAGUACUAGCAUAUGUGCAAGCUUUGGGGUAACUAUAGAAGCGAAAAAUGGUAGAUGGAUGAGAAUUGGGGAAGAUGAUAUUAACCUAAUCCACAUAUUAAAAUUGUGUGUUUGUAAGAGCCAAGGACAGAUCAUUCCUAGAAACUGGGGGAACGUUAGGGUGUGGGACAGACUGCCUUGCUUUCCUUAGGGAAUCAGAAACAAAGUCAUCAGCUGAUUGUGUGGCUGAGGUAGCAUGUUGGGAAUGUCUCUGGACAGGUGAAGAAGCAUAUGAAAUUUGAAGUUAUCUGUCUUUAUUUCUUAAAUGCCCUAUCGAUAAUUGUGUGCCUUGUAUUUAUUUAUCACACAUAGAUGUGUUUGUCUAUACAAAACUAAAAGCAAAAAUGAAUCAUAAAUCAUAACUAUACAUAUUCCAAGUAUUAUUUUUACCUGUGUCAGUGCCUACGUUCACAAACUGUGUGUGCAUCUGCAUUUAUAUAUAUUCAGUGCAAACUAAUGAACUCACUAAGAUUUUUACCUUUUCACCUGAUUAAAAAUGAUUCUUUGAUUUAUACCAUAAGAGUUCACAUCUACAGGAAAAAAGUUGUAAUAAUGAAGAUAAUAUUUCUACGUUACUACACAGACACUGCCAUUUGAGUAUCAUGGAGAAAAUAUAUUUUUUGUUGUGUAUGUGUAUAUAACUCAUGUCAUCUUGAAUAUCAUUUAUGCUAAUAAGCAUUGGCACAUUUGUAUUGAAUUACUGUGUGGCAAACCUUUUAAUGGUGAUGUAUCAAAUGAUCUUGAAAUUUAUAUCUCAUCCUAAUUCAUAGCUUUAAUUUAAAUACACUUUCAUGUUUGAAGAGAACACUUUUAUCUGAUAUUAAAAUGAAAACUUAUGGUUAUUACAACUUCUGGAAAACCCUUCCAUUUUCAUAUGGAACAUCUGCUUUACAAAUGAGCCUUCUGUUCCCAACUUAUGGUACUUUUCCCUCUUUUGUAUGAGAGAAACUAUGAGUAAAGGAAGUUGUUCAAAACUGGAGAUGAAUCAAACAACCGUAAAUUGCACUUGAAUCUGUACAAUCAAAAUAUAUUUCAAGGAAAUGACAGCUUUGUUUUAGGCCACUUGGAUACUAGGACAGGAAUUUUGUUUUAUAUCUUGAAUCAUUGACAGGUAAGUGAAUUUUCUCAAAGAUUAUGUAUAGUUUUUAGUUGUUAUUAUCCAGGUAAUACCUUAUUCUAAGAAAAUGAAAGUUUAUAGCAAAGUCUAAUUCACAUAAUGCUAUUUGAAACAUAAUAGUAUCAUUUCAGGUUAUUUAUAUAGAAAAAUAUUUUUCAUUGUUCAUAGACUUACUAAUUCAAAAUGAUUAACACAUCUACUAAAAUAGGGGUUUUGGCAUUUUUCCUUUAAAUUACAAUAUUUUUCAAAAAGCAAAGCUAAAAUCAUACAUAAGAAUAUAACUUUUCUCCAUUAAAGGAAAGAAACAGAACAUUUAACUUACAAGAAGAGAUAGUAGUAUGAAUUAGUAAUUUGUUUCUUUUGUUUGUUUAUUUGUUUGUUUGU